rnacentral:rRNA from 1 species
UAACUGGCGUUGUUCAUUGGAAACUGGGAGACUUGAGUGCAGAAGAGGAGAGUGGAACUCCAUGUGUAGCGGUGAAAUGCGUAGAUAUAUGGAAGAACACCAGUGGCGAAAUCGGCUCUCUGGUCUGUAACUGACGCUGAGGUUCGAAAGCGUGGGUAGCAAACA